rnacentral:rRNA from 1 species
GAGUUUGAUCGUGGCUCAGGAUGAACGCUGGCGGCGUGCUUAACACAUGCAAGUCGAACGAAGCACUACCGACGGAACUUUUUCGGAGGGAAGAUGGUAAUGACUGAGUGGCGGACGGGUGAGUAACGCGUGGGCAACCUGGCCCCAUAGAGGGGGACAACAGCUGGAAACGGCUGCUAAUACCGCAUAACAAGGAGAGAGCGCAUGUUCUUUUCUUCAAAGAUUUAUCGCUAUGGGAUGGACCCGCGUCUGAUUAGCUGGUUGGUGAGGUAACGGCUCACCAAGGCGACGAUCAGUAGCCGGCUUGAGAGAGUGGACGGCCACAUUGGGACUGAGACACGGCCCAGACUCCUACGGGAGGCAGCAGUA